GAUGAACGCUGGCGGCGUGCCUAAUACAUGCAAGUCGAGCGAACGGACGAGAAGCUUGCUUCUCUGAUGUUAGCGGCGGACGGGUGAGUAACACGUGGAUAACCUACCUAUAAGACUGGGAUAACUUCGGGAAACCGGAGCUAAUACCGGAUAAUAUUUUGAACCGCAUGGUUCAAAAGUGAAAGACGGUCUUGCUGUCACUUAUAGAUGGAUCCGCGCUGCAUUAGCUAGUUGGUAAGGUAACGGCUUACCAAGGCAACGAUGCAUAGCCGACCUGAGAGGGUGAUAGGCCACACUGGAACUGAGACACGGUCCAGACUCCUACGGGAGGCAGCAGUAGGGAAUCUUCCGCAAUAGGCGAAAGCCUGACGGAGCAACGCCGCGUGAGUGAUGAAGGUCUUCGGAUCGUAAAACUCUGUUAUUAGGGAAGAACAUAUGUGUAAGUAACUGUGCACAUCUUGACGGUACCUAAUCAGAAAGCCACGGCUAACUACGUG
rnacentral:rRNA from 1 species